CCUACGGGAGGCAGCAGUAGGGAAUCUUCCACAAUGGGCGAAAGCCUGAAGGAGCAACGCCGCGUGGGUGAAGAAUGUCUUCUGAUCUUAAAACCCUUUUUUUCAAGACGAAAGUGCGUGAGAGUAACUGUUCACGUUUCGACGGUAUAUAACCAGCAAGCCACGGCUAACUACGUGCCAGCAGCCGCGUUAAUACGGAGGUGGCAAGCGUUAUCCGGAUUUAUUGGGCGUAAAGGGAACGCCGGCGGUCUUUUAAGUCUUAUGUGAAAGCCUUCGGCUUAACCGGAGUAGUGCAUUGGAAACUGGGAGACGUGAGUGCAGAAGAGGUGAGUGGAACUCCAUGUGUAGCGGUGAAAUGCGUAGAUAUAUGGAAGAACACCAGUGGCGAAAGCGGCUCUCUGGUCUGUAACUGACGCUGAGGUUCGAAAGCGUGGGUAGCAAACAGGAUUAGAUACCCUUGUAGUC
rnacentral:rRNA from 1 species